GACGAACGCUGGCGGCGUGCUUAACACAUGCAAGUCGAACGGAAAGGCCCUGCUCUUGUGGGGUGCUCGAUUGGCGAACGGGUGAGUAACACGUGAGUAACCUGCCCUUGACUUUGUGAUAACUUCAGGAAACUGGGGCUAAUACCGGAUAGGAGCUCCUGCUGCAUGGUGGUGGUUGGAAAGUUUCGGCGGUUGGGGAUGGACUCGCGGCUUAUCAGCUUGUUGGUGUGGUAGUGGCUUACCAAGGCUUUGACGGGUAGCCGGCCUGAGAGGGUGACCGGGCACAUUGGGACUGAGGUACGGACCAGACUCCUACGGGAGGCAGCAGUGGGGAAUAUUGCACAAUGGGCGGAAGCCUGAUGCAGCAACGCCGCGUGCGGGAUGACGGCCUUCGGGUUGUAAACCGCUUUCGAAUGUGACGAAGCGUGAGUGACGGUAAUGGGUAAAGAAGCACCGGCUAACUACGUG
rnacentral:rRNA from 1 species